UAGCUAAGUUGGUAAAGAAUCUGCUUGCAAAGCAGAACACCUGGGUUUGAUCCCUG
rnacentral:tRNA from 1 species